CGAUCCCUACAUAUUAGUGGAACUAGUUCCAGUGGAGCUGCACUAUGGGCUGAACUGCUGGUAAACUGUACUCUUCUUUGCUUUUCCAUCUGGCAUGGCUCACAUACCUUUGAGAUACCUUUAUCCUAAUCUAAAAUUAGAUCAUGCUUGCUUAGCUCCUUCAUCCCAUGAUCUCCUAUGUGGCCUAGGUGGUAAUGUCAUAACCGAUGACCCCCUACUGGUCUUGCGCUGCAGCUGCUGCAUC
rnacentral:lncRNA from 1 species